AAAAGUGUGGAAACAAGAUCCAUUCAUUCAGGAAAAAAAAAAAGUUCUAGAGACUACUCAAGACAACCUCUGAAGAAACACAUUUCUAAAUCUGCAUUUGUGGUGAUGAAAGAGUUAAAACUCUCAGCAACAGAAUGUAUCUGCUGACCUUAACAUGCCCAGCACCUCCAGGGACACCACAGAAAUGGCCUAAUCCUGCUGAUAAAGAAGAUUCCUAAAUGGAAUCGACAGCAAUAAGAGGAGCAAAAUGAGAAGACUCCAUCUUUGUGGCAAGAGUUCUUCAGCAUUCCCUG
rnacentral:lncRNA from 1 species